GACGAACGCUGGCGGCGUGCUUAACACAUGCAAGUCGAACGAAGUGGCGAACGGGUGAGUAACGCGUAAUCAACCUGCCCUUAAGAGGGGGAAAACAGUUGGAAACGACUGCUAAUACCCCAUACUGAAGGAGGGGAUUGCGUCUGAUUAGCUAGUUGGGGGGGUAACGGCCCACCAAGGCGAUGAUCAGUAGCCGGGCUUGGAGGAUGAACGGCCACAUUGGGACUGGGACACGGCCCAGACUCCUACGGGAGGCAGCAGUGGGGAAUCUUCCGCAAUGGACGAAAGUCUGACGGAGCAACGCCGCGUGAGUGAUGACGGCCUUCGGGUUGUAAAGCUCUGUUAAUCGGGACGCGGUACCGGAAGAGAAAGCCACGGCUAACUACGUGCCAGCAGCCGCGGUAAUUC
rnacentral:rRNA from 1 species